rnacentral:rRNA from 1 species
GCUAGUAAUGGCAGGUCAGCAUACUGCCGUGAAUACGUUCCCGGGCCUUGUACACACCGCCCGUCACACCAUGAGAGUUGGGAAUACCCGAAGCCUGUGAGCUAACAUUUAUGAGGCAGCAGUCGAAGGUAGAAUCAAUGAUUGGGGUGAAGUCGUAACAAGGUAGC